UUUUUUGUGGAGAGUUUGAUCCUGGCUCAGGACGAACGCUGGCGGCGCGCCUAACACAUGCAAGUCGAACGGAGUUUGAGAGAGCUUGCUUUUUCAAACUUAGUGGCGAACGGGUGAGUAACGCGUGAGUAACCUGCCCUGGAGUGGGGGACAACAGUUGGAAACGACUGCUAAUACCGCAUAAGCCCACGGUGCCGCAUGGCACAGCGGGAAAAGGAUUUAUUCGCUUCAG
rnacentral:rRNA from 1 species